rnacentral:lncRNA from 1 species
CGCGCCCUUCAACUUCCUCGGCCUCAGCCAGGACCAGACGGAGGGUACCGUCCUCGUCACCGUCAAAGCCGACGGCAAGGUCCGCUGGAAGGUCGGCACCUUCAUCUCCGGCCACUACCACCUCUACGUCCGCUGCCCCGCCUUCAUCUCCUUCGGCCCCCGCAGCAACGGCAUCGCCGUCGGAGAAAACGCCAUGAAGUUCCAGAUCAUCCAACGGUGCUCCGUCAGCGUUUAAACCCACACCACAAAAAGAUACCAACGCAUUCU